CCUGGAACCUAUCCCGUAUCACUUUCUCCAGUGUUUUGCCCUUGACCUUCUUCCUUUCCUCACCCAUCUCAUCAACAUCUCCUUGUCAACAGGCUGUUUCCCCGACGCCAUCAAAGAGGCAAGAGU